GAUGAACGCUGGCGGCGUGCCUAAUACAUGCAAGUCGAGCGAACGGACGAGAAGCUUGCUUCUCUGAUGUUAGCGGCGGACGGGUGAGUAACACGUGGAUAACCUACCUAUAAGACUGGGAUAACUUCGGGAUACCGGAGCUAAUACCGGAUAAUAUUUUGAACCGCAUGGUUCAAAAGUGAAAGACGGUCUUGCUGUCACUUAUAGAUGGAUCCGCGCUGCAUUAGCUAGUUGGUAAGGUAACGGCUUACCAAGGCAACGAUGCAUAGCCGACCUGAGAGGGUGAUCGGCCACACUGGAACGGAGACACGGUCCAGACUCCUACGGGAGGCAGCAGUAGGGAAUCUUCCGCAAUGGGCGAAAGCCUGACGGAGCAACGCCGCGUGAGUGAUGAAGGUCUUCGGAUCGUAAAACUCUGUUAUUAGGGAAGAACAUAUGUGUAAGUAACUGUGCACAUCUUGACGGUACCUAAUCAGAAAGCCACGGCUAACUACGUG
rnacentral:rRNA from 1 species